AACGAACGCUGGCGGCAUGCCUAACACAUGCAAGUCGAACGAGACCUUCGGGUUUAGUGUCGUACGGGUACGUAACGCGUGGGAACCUGCCCUUAGGUUCGGAAUAACUCUCCGAAAGGGGUGCCAAUACCGGAUAAUGUCUUCGGCCCAAAGAUUUAUCGCCUUUGGAUGGGCCCGCGUUGGAUUAGCUAGUUGGUAGGGUAAAAGCCUACCAGGGCGACGAUCCAUAGCUGGUCUGAGAGGAUGAUCAGCCACACUGGGACGGAGACAGGACCCAGUCUCCUACGAGGGGCGGAAGUGGGAUAUAUUGAAGAAGGGGGAGAGGCGAAGGCCAGCGGUGCGGAGAGAGUGGUGAGGACUGAAGGAUUGUAAAGCUCGUUACCCGGGGAUGAUAGUGGGAAUACCGGGAGAAUAAGCGCGGUAAAACUCCG
rnacentral:rRNA from 1 species